AAAAUUUCUCUAAUGAAAAGAGAAACAUUUAAUAACAUCUAUAUUUCCACAAAAUCCGGCUAGGAGAUAAUUGCUGGUCCUUGAGGAUUGAACACUUUGCAAACUGUCUUUUAAUAGGAGUCAAACUCUGAUGCAGAUGCUCAGGCGAACUUGGCCGUUGAACUUGCCGAUGGUCAAAUUCAGGAGGAGGUAGAGAAAUGACAAAAGGGCACUUGACUUUAUCGUCGUCCAUGGCAGAAAAAUGUAGUAACGGUACAGACAAAAAGGUUCAUGAUUUGCUAAAUCUUUUGAGAUUCAAUCAUGAGAUUAAUCGUGAAGCUGAAGUUGAAGUGGAGAAAGAACAGUACAGCUCCUUCUAAACAGUAUGAUCAUGUGGAAUGAAGGUCUGCUUUUCUCUGAAUAAGUAUAUCAUAAUUGACUCGGUGCAACUGAUUUGUCGGUGACAGAGGUUUGAUGCAAAUGUAUGCUCAUCAUAUUGGUAUUUUUUUCAUGUAAUAAUUUUUUGAACUUUAUUUUAGUUGGCCCUACUCUUCACAUUGGUAGUUAUAGAUAUGUAUCAGAUCUUCUAGAUUUUAACAUGACUUUUAUUGCGUUAUAAUAUCUUUAUAUUAUUUGGUAGCAUAUUUGUA